AUUGAACGCUGGCGGCAGGCCUAACACAUGCAAGUCGAACGAGGGGCGGACGGGUGAGAAAUGUGUGGGAAACUGCCUGAUGGAGGGGGAUAACUACUGGAAACGGUAGCAAAUACCGCAUACCAUCAGAUGUGCCAAGAUGGGAUUAGCUGGUUGCUGGGGUAACGGUUCACCAAGGAGACGAUCCCUAGCUGGUCUGAGAGGGUGACCAGCCACACUGGAACUGAGACACGGUCCAGACUCCUACGGGAGGCAGCAGUGGGGAAUAUUGCACAAUGGGCGCAAGCCUGAUGCAGCAAUGCCGCGUGUAUGAAGAAGGCCUUCGGGUUGUAAAGUACUUUCAGCGGGGAGGCGUUACCCGCAGAAGAAGCCCCGGCUAACUCCGUGCCAGCAGCCGCGGUAAUUC
rnacentral:rRNA from 1 species